rnacentral:rRNA from 1 species
AUUGAACGCUGGCGGCAGGCUUAACACAUGCAAGUCGAGCGGGGUGAUGGUGCUUGCACUAUCACUUAGCGGCGGACGGGUGAGUAAUGCUUAGGAAUCUGCCUAUUAGUGGGGGACAACAUCUCGAAAGGGAUGCUAAUACCGCAUACGUCCUACGGGAGAAAGCGGGGGAUCACUUGUGACCUUGCGCUAAUAGAUGAGCCUAAGUCGGAUUAGCUAGUUGGUGGGGUAAAGGCCUACCAAGGCGACGAUCUGUAGCGGGUCUGAGAGGAUGAUCCGCCACACUGGGACUGAGACACGGCCCAGACUCCUACGGGAGGCAGCAGUGGGGAAUAUUGGACAAUGGGGGGAACCCUGAUCCAGCCAUGCCGCGUGUGUGAAGAAGGCCUUAUGGUUGUAAAGCACUUUAAGCGAGGAGGAGGCUACUCUAGUUAAUACCUAGGGAUAGUGGACGCUACUCGCAGAAUAAGCACCGGCUAACUCUGUGCCAGCCGCCGCCGUAA